rnacentral:rRNA from 1 species
AGUGAACGCUGGCGGUAGGCCUAACACAUGCAAGUCGAACGGCAGCACAGUAAGAGCUUGCUCUUACGGGUGGCGAGUGGCGGACGGGUGAGGAAUACAUCGGAAUCUACUUUUUCGUGGGGGAUAACGUAGGGAAACUUACGCUAAUACCGCAUACGACCUACGGGUGAAAGCAGGGGAUCUUCGGACCUUGCGCGAUUGAAUGAGCCGAUGUCGGAUUAGCUAGUUGGCGGGGUAAAGGCCCACCAAGGCGACGAUCCGUAGCUGGUCUGAGAGGAUGAUCAGCCACACUGGAACUGAGACACGGUCCAGACUCCUACGGGAGGAAGCAGUGGAGAAUAUUGGACGAUGGGCGCGAGCCUGAUCCAGCCAUACCGCGUGGGUGAAGAAGGCCUUCGGGUUGUAAAGCCCUUUUGUUGGGAAAGAAAAGCAGCAGGUUAAUACCCCGCUGUUCUGACGGUACCCAAAGAAUAAGCACCGGCUAACUUCGUG